UACGUAGGGGGCAAGCGUUGUCCGGAAUUAUUGGGCGUAAAGAGCGUGUAGGCGGUCCGGUAAGUCAGCUGUGAAAGUCAAGGGCUCAACCCUUGAAAGCCGGUUGAUACUGUCGGGCUAGAGUCCGGAAGAGGCGAGUGGAAUUCCCGGUGUAGCGGUGAAAUGCGCAGAUAUCGGGAGGAACACCGAUGGCGAAGGCGCAAGCUCCGCGAGGACCGGUAUAGUGACGCUGAGGAGCGAAA
rnacentral:rRNA from 1 species